AUUGAACGCUGGCGGCAUGCCUAACACAUGCAAGUCGAACGGAGGUAGGGGCAACUCUACUUCAGUGGCGGACGGGUGAGGAAUGCGUCGGAAUCUACCCUAUGGUGGGGGAUAACACAGGGAAACUUGUGCUAAUACCGCAUAAUGUCGAGAGACCAAAGCAGGGGACCGCAAGGCCUUGCGCGAUAGGAUGAGCCGACGCCCGAUUAGCUUGUUGGUAGGGUAAUGGCCUACCAAGGCGACGAUCGGUAGCUGGUCUGAGAGGAUGAUCAGCCACACUGGGACUGAGACACGGCCCAGACUCCUACGGGAGGCAGCAGUGGGGAAUAUUGGACAAUGGGCGCAAGCCUGAUCCAGCAAUGCCGCGUGUGUGAAGAAGGCCUGCGGGUUGUAAAGCACUUUUGUUCGGGAAGAAAUCAUGCUGGUACCUGCAGAAGAAGCCCCGGCUAACUACGUGCCAGCAGCCGCGGUAA
rnacentral:rRNA from 1 species